UCUCAGCUGAAAAGGUGCCACCUGCUUGCCUCUACAAGUGUGCUGGGACCUGGUGUCCUGAGCAUGGGGACAGCUGGAACCGUUCGCUGCAUCACAUGGCAGCUCUUGCAAGAGCAUCAACCCCAUGGAGAGGCUCAUAAGAUGAAAGCCAAAGAAGACAGGAUUGUGUGGCCAUUGAAAACCCUGGAGUGUUUACAUCAGAGGCUUCACGUUUUCCUUUGGAUCUUGUGAUUAACUUGUGAUUAUAAAUGACCCAAGUAAGACAAACCAGGCAGCUAUGCAGCAGCUGAGGCAUGUACAGGAG